GUUAUCAAAUUCACACUAUCAUUCUUUGUCUGAUAAUAACAUUGUCUAACCUUUAAGAAUAACCUGUUUAAAAUAGUAAUUUUUUUAUCAUCGACAAUUAUAAUUCUAACAAAGGUUGAUAAUAAGCAUACAGUGUUGAAGUUCGAGUAUAAAAAGACAGGAAAAUUCCAAUUCAUAAAAAUAUUCUAAAACUUUUCAAGUCAAAUUGAAACAAACAAUCACGAUGAAAAGUUAUUCAGCACUUCUUGUUGCAACAGUUUUACUUGUUUGCUGGACAGCAGUGGCACUGGCUGCCGAUCAAGAGGCUCAAAUUAUAGAUAGAAAGAAACGUGAUUCACCAAUUUAAAAAUGAAAUUUACUGGAUUUUUCAUAAUUCAAGAAAGUACUUAAUAUUGUGAUGUAAGAUCGAAAUAUAAAUGAAUAAAAUAAAUUCUACUGAUUGUA